UACGUAGGGUGCGAGCGUUGUCCGGAAUUAUUGGGCGUAAAGGGCUCGUAGGCGGUCUGUUGCGUCAGGAGUGAAAACUCGGGGCUUAACCCCGAGCCUGCUUCUGAUACGGGCAGACUAGAGGUAUGCAGGGGAGAACGGAAUUCCUGGUGUAGCGGUGAAAUGCGUAGAUAUCUGGAGGAACACCGGUGGCGAAGGCGGCAUCCUGGACCGACACUGACGCUGAGGCGCGACAGCGUGGGGAGCAAACAGG
rnacentral:rRNA from 1 species